CAAAAGGUAUAAAAAGUCCCUUUCUAUUCUCAGGGAAGCUGCAGCCUUGAGGGACCAGGGAAGAGGUGGCAUGAUUCAAGGCAGGGACCACAAUGUGGUUGGCUUCCUCAAAGCAAAGGCCUGAGUCAGCCAGGCUCAGGCGACACCCUGCAUUGGCACCCGCUCAGUGUUGUCUUGUUGAGCAGCCUGAAGAAUACAGAUGAGCCACCUGCCCAUGUGGGCUCUAUCCUCACUUGCUUGACGGUGCCCACUUCCUUGGCGAGGUCUUCCCAGCAGAGGCUUUCUAAGUGGGACCUCUGGGUUGAGUCUUUCUAUGAGCUAGCACCAUGGAAUAGAUGGGGGCGAGGAACGGUGCAGCAGCAGGGUUCCAGGUAGAGGAGACAGCAGCAGAUAGGGCAUAGAGGAGGUGGGGGACAAGG
rnacentral:lncRNA from 1 species